rnacentral:rRNA from 1 species
CGUGAAGAUGCGAGCUAUUUGCGGUUAGACGGAAAGACCCCGUGCACCUUUACUAUUAUUUUAAGUUGUAAAAUUAAAAUUUGUGCGUAGCGUAGGUGGGAGCGAAAGCAAUAAUGAAACACCACCCUUAAAUUUUAGUUUUACUUAAUUAUUCAAGACAGCUUAUGAAAGGUAGUUUGACUGGGGCGGUCGCCUCCCAAAAAGUAACGGAGGCGUACAAAGGCGAACUCAGAUAAUUAAAAAUUGGAGAGUGUAAUGGCAUAUGUUCGCUUGACUGUAAGAUUGACAAAUCGAACAGGGAUUUAAUACUAGUCGGUCAUAGUGAUCCGGUGAUUCUGUGUGGAAAGAUCAUCGCUCAACGAAUAAAAGGUACGCCGGGGAUAACAGGCUGAUGGUUUCUGAGAGUUCAUAUCGACGAGACCGUUUGGCACCUCGAUGUCGGCUCAUCACAUCCUGGGGCUGAAGCAGGUCCCAAGGGUUUGGCUGUUCGCCAAUUAAAGCGGUACGCGAGCUGGGUUCAGACCGGCGUGAGCCAGGUCGGUCCCUAUCUGCUGUGGGUGUGGGAACUUUGACGGCGAU